rnacentral:rRNA from 1 species
CAGUCGAACGAUGAAGCUGGAGCUUGCUCCAGUGGAUUAGUGGCGAACGGGUGAGUAACACGUGAGCAAUCUGCCCUUGACUCUGGGAUAACUGCGGGAAACUGUAGCUAAUACCGGAUACGACACCUUGGGGCAUCCUGGGGUGUGGAAAGAAUUUCGGUCAAGGAUGAGCUCGCGGCCUAUCAGCUAGUUGGUGAGGUAAUGGCUCACCAAGGCGACGACGGGUAGCCGGCCUGAGAGGGUGACCGGCCACACUGGAACUGAGAUACGGUCCAGACUCCUACGGGAGGCAGCAGUGGGGAAUAUUGCACAAUGGGCGCAAGCCUGAUGCAGCAACGCCGCGUGAGGGAUGAAGGCCUUCGGGUUGUAAACCUCUUUUAGCAGGGAAGAAGCGAAAGUGACGGUACCUGCAGAAAAAGCACCGGCUAACUACGUGCCAGCAGCCGCGGUAAUACGUAGGGUGCAAGCGUUGUCCGGAAUUAUUGGGCGUAAAGAGCUCGUAGGCGGUUUGUCGCGUCUGCUGUGAAAAUCCAAGGCUCAACCUUGGACCUGCAGUGGGUACGGGCAGACUAGAGUGCGGUAGGGGAGAUGGGAAUUCCUGGUGUAGCGGUGGAAUGCGCAGAUAUCAGGAGGAACACCAAUGGCGAAGGCACAUCUCUGGGCCGUAACUGACGCUGAGGAGCGAAAGCGUGGGGAGCGAACAGACUUAGAUACCCUGGUAGUCCACGCCGUAAGCGGUGGGUGCUAGUUGUGGGCCACAUUCCACGUGGUCCGUGACGAAGUUAACACAUUAAGCACCCCGCCUGGGGAGUACGGUCGCAAGACUAAAACUCAAAGGAAUUGACGGG